rnacentral:rRNA from 1 species
GAUGAACGCUGGCGGCGUGCCUAAUACAUGCAAGUCGAGCGAACAGACGAGGAGCUUGCUCCUCUGACGUUAGCGGCGGACGGGUGAGUAACACGUGGAUAACCUACCUAUAAGACUGGGAUAACUUCGGGAAACCGGAGCUAAUACCGGAUAAUAUAUUGAACCGCAUGGUUCAAUAGUGAAAGACGGUUUUGCUGUCACUUAUAGAUGGAUCCGCGCCGCAUUAGCUAGUUGGUAAGGUAACGGCUUACCAAGGCAACGAUGCGUAGCCGACCUGAGAGGGUGAUCGGCCACACUGGAGCUGAGACACGGUCCAGACUCCUACGGGAGGCAGCAGUAGGGAAUCUUACGCAAUGGGCGAAAGCCUGACGGAGCAACGCCGCGUGAGUGAUGAAGGUCUUCGGAUCGUAAAACUCUGUUAUUAGGGAAGAACAAAUGUGUAAGUAACUAUGCACGUCUUGACGGUACCUAAUCAGAAAGCCACGGCUAACUACGUG